rnacentral:lncRNA from 1 species
AAUCGCAAGCUUAAGACAAUGAUCUCGGCAUCCACUACAAGGCUCAAGUUCAUCCAUAAGUGCAAUUGGAAGCAGUCUCGAUACCUUGACGUAGGACAGUACAGACCCAUCUCGAUCUUUUCUUUUCACUUAGCUUGAUUUUCAAUUUUUAGCACAAGAUUUUGCAAGUUGUCCAAGCAAGUGUAUAACUCAAAGCAUGAGACAUAGCAACCUAGCAUAUAAAA